rnacentral:lncRNA from 1 species
GCUUAACCAAUGGAGCCACCUAGGCACCCCAAGUAUUCACUGUUAAGUUUUUUGGGUAUAUAUGCGUACCUAUGUUUGUUUACAUACAUUAAAUAAUAGAAAAUGGAGGCACCUGGCUGGCUCAGUCAGUAGAACAUAGGACUUUCGAUCUAAGGGUUGUGAGUUUGAGCCCUGUGUUGGAUAUAGAGUUUACUUCGGAAAAAAAAAUAAAUAAAUAAUAAAUAAAAGGGUACCUGGCUAUUUCAGUCGUGGAGCAUGAAACUCUUGAUGUUGGGGUUGUGGGUUUGAGCCCCAUGUUUGGUGUAGAGAUUACUUAAAAAUAAAGUCUGAAAAUUUUUUAAAAACUUCAUAAUAAAAUGAAUUCUAUUUAAAAAAUAAUAUAAUGUACUGUUCUGGCAAUUUAUUUCCCCUUAUCAACAUAUCAUGGGAAAUGUUUCUAUUUCUACCAUAGAGAUAAAUCUUAUUCUUCUAAGAUCUUCAUCACAUUGCAUUGUGCGGAUUUCCAUAGUUUAUUUAAGUAGCCCCUGCUAAUGGAUUUUAGUUUGUUUUUAGUGUUUUUACUAUUUUGAGUAAGUUUGCAAUGAAUAUUCUAUCUUUGCUACUUUUGUGAGUCUAUCCAGGAUAAAUUCCUAACAUUUAUAAUUUUGAUAUCUGCAGUAUUAUCAGGUGAUCCUCUAAAGAGGUACAAUUUAUUGGGGCACCUGGGUGCCUCAGUUGGUUGAGCGUUUGACUUCGGCUCAGGUCAUGAUCUCGCAGUUCGUGGAUUCCAGUGAUGGCUCGGAGCCUGGAGUCUGCUUUGGAUUCUGUGUCUCCCUCUCUUUGCCCCUCCCCUGCUCAUGCUCAUGCGCUCUCUCUCUCUCUCUCUCUCUCUCUCUCGCUCUCUCUCUCUCAAGAAUAAAUAAACUUAAAAAAAAUUAAAAGCAGUCUUCUGGAGGAGCAGUUCCAGCAGGGCAAGCUUCUUGCAUGCAUCGCUUCAAGACCAGGCCAGUGUGGCCAAGCAGAUGGCUAUGUGCUGGAGGGCAAGGAGCUAGAGUUCUAUCUGAGGAAAAUCAAAGCCUGGAAAGUCAGAUGAGGAUUGAAGGAGAUCCUGCCAGGAAAGCCCCCAGGCUGCCCUUCUGCUUCUGCUGGUGGCAUGAAGGUUCCCUCCCGGGGCCUGAGCUUUAGAGGGCCCGGGUGAGGGGUGAAGAAUCUAGGAGCCCGAGGCCUGGAAGUCAGCUCCCCACCCCCAACCCUCCAGGUACGGGAAUUCUAUGCUCAGUUGGUGCGGAGUCCAUUAGCAGGGCCUGCGUAGCCCUCUCCCCCAGUCUGCUCUUCAGAGGGAAGGCCAUCCCUGUAGAUCUGAAGGGCGGCCAAGGUGUGGGUCGGUAGGUUGUGGACAGAGUGUGAACAUUUGGCUUGGGGCGUCCACACAUGUGCAAGUGGGUCCCUCACUGUCAGAACAGAGAGGCGUGGGUAGGAAUAGAAGAGGGGGGAUCGAAAGCUCCAUUUGUACUCUUGCCCUGAACCUCUCCAAUGUGAGAGGUGGGCCUGCUUCUUUUCUUCUUUCUCUCUCUCUUUUUAAAAAAUUUUUAUUUUUUGAGAGAGAGAGAAAGAGCGAGCUUGUGAGCAGGGGAGAGGGGCAGAGAGAGAGAGAGAAAGAGAGAGAGAGAGAAUCCUAAGAAAGCUCCACACUUAGCUUGGAGCCCGCCACGGGGCUCGAUUCCAUGACCCUGGGAUCAUGACCUUGUAAGGGUUAAAUUGUAGUAUAGGGCUUCACGCUUAGCUUGAAAAAUAACAGCUUUGUGUUGACACUGAAGGUGAAGAGAUAACAGUCUUGCUUUACUCUUUACGCCUUAUACUCUUGUAAAUU